AUUGAACGCUGGCGGCAUGCCUUACACAUGCAAGUCGAGCGGCAGCACGGGAGCAAUCCUGUGGCGAGUGGCGAACGGGUGAGUAAUACAUCGGAACGUGCCCAGUAGUGGGGGAUAGCCCGGCGAAAGCCGGAUUAAUACCGCAUACGACCUGAGGGUGAAAGCGGGGGAUCGCAAGACCUCGCGCUACUGGAGCGGCCGAUGUCGGAUUAGCUAGUUGGUGGGGUAAAGGCCUACCAAGGCCACGAUCCGUAGCUGGUCUGAGAGGACGACCAGCCACACUGGGACUGAGACACGGCCCAGACUCCUACGGGAGGCAGCAGUGGGGAAUUUUGGACAAUGGGGGCAACCCUGAUCCAGCCAUGCCGCGUGCGGGAAGAAGGCCUUCGGGUUGUACACUGCUUUUGUCAGGGAAGAAAUCCUCUAGGUUAAUACCCUUGGGGGGAUGACGGUACCUGAAGAAUAAGCACCGGCUAACUACGUGCCAGCCGCCGCAGUAAUAC
rnacentral:rRNA from 1 species